AAUCAUUUUCACCAGUUUCUCUGCACGAAUACCGAGAGAAACCGAAGUGUGUUCUUCGUGUUCUUCGUAAUCAAACGAGGAUUUGGAGGUGUUAUUGGAAUCCGAUGGAGGUGUAUGAAUAGUCAAAACGAAGCUAUCGACGUGUAGAUUAUAGUUUAAUCAUUCGUUUGUGUGCAGAUUCAACAGGAUUUGGACGAGUCGUGUACGCUCGAAGACGUCAGGAAGUCGAAAUGGUAUUGCAAAGCGAAUAAGGGAUGAAUCGAGUAAGCGAAGCGAUGUGGCGAAUAGAGUACGGCUAGAGAUGGUCUAGAAAUUAUGAUAUGGAUAGAUUGUGAAAGUGGAAAGAUGAGAUAGAGAUGUGAGACUGGAGUCAGAUUUAAGGCAAGUAUCCUAAACCCUUCUCUUGGAUAUAUUGCAAAUAUUCUGAUCCAUUCCUUUGGUAUUUGUUGCAAGAAUUCGUACCUUUCUUUUCUUUAUUUAAAAGUGCAUGUAUUCGGAUCUAUUCUUUUUAUUCUUCAAGUUUCUAAAGAAUUCCUGUUUUAUUAAUUAAUUCGAAGUUCAGAUUGUCAUUGGAGCAUGUGUUGCUCAGUGAUAGUUAGAAAUUAGAAUGAAUUGGGAUCUUCUUGAUUAUUCAACCCGCCAUUGUCAUGCUGGUCUAGCAGGCUAAAUUCAGUAAACUUAGCCGAUAAUGGAGGAUACUGAAUAGUUAGGGAUUUCCUGAACUAUGGUUUACGAAAGAAUGGACGGUGAUUUAUGAAAAGAUUAUUAUCAAAGUUUGAUUUGAAAUAUUUCUGUUAUUGAUAAUGAUUGUGAUUUUGUUCUGUUGAUAUACGUUGGUUUGUUGAAUUGAAUUAGAGAAUUGGAUUAUUGUUUUUAUAUAAACCUGUGGACCAGAUGAGUGGUCAUGUUAGGCCAAUGAGUGCCUUGGAUCCAGUGAUAGAGCAUGGCGGGGCCUGCUCGGGGUUAGUGCGGAACUGAUCAGCUGCCUAACCUUGGUUUUAAUUAAAAUGUGAUAGUCCAAUUCAAUAAUUCUUUGCAAAGAUUGAAUUUCUCAGUUUAAAUGCUGCAAGGUAUUGUAAAUCAUUCUAUACAAUACCAUGAAUUCAUGAACUCAGGUUGAAUCCUUUUAUAUCUUGAACUCGUGAACUUCUGUUAUAUCAUUUCAGAAUUAUCAUUGUUUAUUAUUACUUGCUGAGCAUUGUUGCUCACCCUUGCUAUUCCUUUCUAACCAUUUCAGAAAGGCUUAAAGAUGAGAUGAUUGAUUGAGAUUGUGAAUAAGGCUAAUGCUAGGCGAGGAGACAGAGUUGAGGAUCCAGUGAUCGAGGAGUGUUCAGGGAAGUUGAUAAGGUUGGUGCUAGCUAGAGUUAUGCUAUGAAGAUUCAGAUGUAAGUCAUGGCUGGAGUAGGUUGACAGUGAUUCUUCUUAUCGAAGAUGAUCUGAUUUGGUAAGAGAAGUUGUGUAAUAUUAGUGGUGGAUUCUAAUUUCAAUAUUGUAACCUGGAUGCGAUCCUGUUGUUUUAGGGGGUUCAAAUGUUCUCUUUCAAA